CAGCCGCCGCGGGAAAACGUAGGUGGCAAGCGUUAUCCGGAAUUAUUGGGCGUAAAGCGCGCGCAGGUGGUUUCUUAAGUCUGAUGUGAAAGCCCACGGCUCAACCGUGGAGGGUCAUUGGAAACUGGGAGACUUGAGUGCAGAAGAGGAAAGUGGAAUUCCAUGUGUAGCGGUGAAAUGCGUAGAGAUAUGGAGGAACACCAGUGGCGAAGGCGACUUUCUGGUCUGUAACUGACACUGAGGCGCGAAAGCGUGGGGAGCAAACAGGAUUAGAUACCCCUGUAGUCCCUGUCUCUUAUAC
rnacentral:rRNA from 1 species